CUUGGGGAGGUUGGCAACGACCACCCUGAGCCGGAAAGUUCGUCAAACUCGGUCA
rnacentral:rRNA from 1 species